rnacentral:rRNA from 1 species
GACGAACGCUGGCGGCGUGCCUAAUACAUGCAAGUCGAGCGAGACCCUUCGGAGUCUGGCGGCGGACGGGUGAGCAACACGUGGGCAACCUGCCUGUAAGACUGGGAUAACACCGGGAAACCGGUGCUAAUACCGGAUAAUCCUUUUCUUCACAUGAGGGAAAGCUGAAAGUCGGUUUCGGCUGACACUUGCAGAUGGGCCCGCGGGGCAUUAGCUAGUUGGGGAGGGAACGGCUCACCAAGGCGACGAUGCGUAGCCGACCUGAGAGGGUGAUGAGCCACACUGGGACUGAGACACGGCCCAGACUCCUACGGGAGGCAGCAGUGGGGAAUCUUCCACAAUGGGCGAAAGUCUGAUGGAGCAACGCCGCGUGAGCGAUGAAGGCCUUCGGGUCGUAAAGCUCUGUUGUUAGGGAAGAACAAGUACCGGAGUAACUGCCGGUACCUUGACGGUACCUAACCAGAAAGCCACGGCUAACUACGUGCCAGCCGCCGCGGUAAGAC